rnacentral:lncRNA from 1 species
AAUUUGAGGCGACUUGAUAAAUGAGGAGAAUAUAUUAAAAUUUCAUAAAUUUUGGUUUGUGGUAAUAUCAAAUAUUCUAAAAUAUGUCUAACGAUUCCGAUCGUCAAAUCAAAUUUCUUAAAAUCGAUUUUUAGAAGAAAAAGGUCUAACUCAAAUGUGAGGCCGGGUAUCACAUCGCCUGACGAUCUUAAACAGUGUAUGCGAUUGGGCUGAUUAGAAUGUCAUACCGUAAAUAGAUGGAGUCUGUGACACUCUAAUAAUGCCACAUAUAUAAGAUAGGAACGGAAUUAUGAUUAAAUAUAUAAAUGACUAUGGACCCUAAUAAUAAUAAUAAUAAUAAUAACUGUAUUUAAGAAUUUGUGCUGGUGAUUUAGACUUAAUAGUUAUUAUUAUUAACGAGCCAGUUGGCUAAAUUUCAAGAAAAUGUGUGAGCAAUGUUUGGAUUGGGGAUAAGGGGAGGGAAUACUCCUUAUCCCCCUUUAUACCCAAACAUAAAUUUUUUAUCCGAAAAUAGUAGUUCUCUAUUAUCUAAAAUAAUCUGGUAUAACUAUUCCACCAACACCUCCAUUUUCUAUAUAUAACUAUCUAUUAUUUUUCUUAUUCCAUAUUAUCUAUCCAAACGCUAUUUUUUUUAUUCCCGGAAACAAUUCAAUUUUCAUCCAAAAGCUAUUUUUCUUAUUCUUAUAUUUGUAUCUAUCCCGCCAAUUUUUGCUUAUACCCAAACCAAACGCUACCCUAGCAUAGUGUGCACCCC